UACGUAGGUGACAAGCGUUGUCCGGAUUUACUGGGCGUAAAGAGCGCGCAGGCGGUCGAUCAAGUCGAGUGUGAAAGCCCCCGGCUCAACUGGGGAGGGUCAUUCGAUACUGAUCGACUCGAAGGCAGGAGAGGGUAGUGGAAUUCCCGGUGUAGUGGUGAAAUGCGCAGAUAUCAGGAAGAACACCCGUGGCGAAGGCGGCUCUCUGGUACGUGACUGACGCUGAGACGCGAAAGCGUGGGGAGCAAACAGG
rnacentral:rRNA from 1 species